GAUGAACGCUGGCUACAGGCUUAACACAUGCAAGUCGCGGGGCAGCAUGGGGGUUGCUUGCAAUCCCCGAUGGCGACCGGCGCACGGGUGAGUAACGCGUAUCCAACCUGCCCUUCACCACGGGAUAACCCGGCGAAAGUCGGACUAAUACCGUAUGUUUUCCAUUGACGGCAUCCGAUUUGGACGCAAUGUUUGGGGGUGUAGGAUGGGGAUGCGUCCGGUUAGCUGGACGGCGGGGUGACGGCCCACCGUGGCGCCGCUCGGGAGGGGUUAUGUGAGGGAGGCCCCCCAGACUGGAACUGAGACACGGACCAGACUCGUACGGGAGGGAGGAGUGAGGAACAUUGGGGAAUGGGCGUAAGCCUGAACCAGCCAAGUAGCGUGCAGGAUGACGGCGCUAUGGGUUGUAAACUGCUUUUAUGCGGGGAUAAAGUGGCCCACGAGUGGGUUUUUGCAGGUACCGCAUGAAUAAGGACCGGCUAAUUCCGUG
rnacentral:rRNA from 1 species